rnacentral:rRNA from 1 species
UGAGCUCGAUGAGUAGGGCGGGACACGUGGUAUCCUGUCUGAAUAUGGGGGGACCAUCCUCCAAGGCUAAAUACUCCUGACUGACCGAUAGUGAACCAGUACCGUGAGGGAAAGGCGAAAAGAACCCCGGCGAGGGGAGUGAAAAAGAACCUGAAACCGUGUACGUACAAGCAGUGGGAGCCUCUUUUAUGGGGUGACUGCGUACCUUUUGUAUAAUGGGUCAGCGACUUAUAUUCUGUAGCAAGGUUAACCGAAUAGGGGAGCCGAAGGGAAACCGAGUCUUAACUGGGCGUUAAGUUGCAGGGUAUAGACCCGAAACCCGGUGAUCUAGCCAUGGGCAGGUUGAAGGUUGGGUAACACUAACUGGAGGACCGAACCGACUAAUGUUGAAAAAUUAGCGGAUGACUUGUGGCUGGGGGUGAAAGGCCAAUCAAACCGGGAGAUAGCUGGUUCUCCCCGAAAGCUAUUUAGGUAGCGCCUCGUGAAUUCAUCUCCGGGGGUAGAGCACUGUUUCGGCAAGGGGGUCAUCCCGACUUACCAACCCGAUGCAAACUGCGAAUACCGGAGAAUGUUAUCACGGGAGACACACGGCGGGUGCUAACGUCCGUCGUGAAGAGGGAAACAACCCAGACCGCCAGCUAAGGUCCCAAAGUCAUGGUUAAGUGGGAAACGAUGUGGGAAGGCCCAGACAGCCAGGAUGUUGGCUUAGAAGCAGCCAUCAUUUAAAGAAAGCGUAAUAGCUCACUGGUCGAGUCGGCCUGCGCGGAAGAUGUAACGGGGCUAAACCAUGCACCGAAGCUGCGGCAGCGACGCUUAUGCGUUGUUGGGUAGGGGAGCGUUCUGUAAGCCUGUGAAGGUGUGCUGUGAGGCAUGCUGGAGGUAUCAGAAGUGCGAAUGCUGACAUAAGUAACGAUAAAGCGGGUGAAAAGCCCGCUCGCCGGAAGACCAAGGGUUCCUGUCCAACGUUAAUCGGGGCAGGGUGAGUCGACCCCUAAGGCGAGGCCGAAAGGCGUAGUCGAUGGGAAACAGGUUAAUAUUCCUGUACUUGGUGUUACUGCGAAGGGG